AGCUGCUGUAUGGGAGAAGGGUCCGCGGACCCCUAGAUCUCAUUAGAGGUCACUGGGAGGGGGAGACAGAGCAGGAAGGGACCCCCAUAGUACCAUAUGUUCUGGAACUCCGGGACCGCAUGGAGAAACUGUCCCUGAUGGUAAGGGAGAAUCUCCAGGCGGCCCAGGGGAGACAGAAGAGAUGGUACGAUCAGGGCGCCCGACAGCGGGUCUUCCAGGUUG